AUCCCAUGAUGAGGGCACUUACGAAGUAAAUCCUUGAAUCGCUUCUAAACCUCAUACAAAGACUCAUCAUCCAAUUGUUGGAAAGCUGUGAUGUCAUUCCUUAACUU
rnacentral:snoRNA from 1 species